CAUCUCUCCCCUUUCCUCUCCUCGAGUAAAAAAAAACACCCCGCGGCUGCCGCCUCCUCUCCCCACUUCCCCCUCGCGCCCUCCGCAUCCCUCUGCCGCCGCCGCCGCCGCCGCCGCCGCCACCUACUGCUCCGCGGCAUGGCCGACGAGGUCCGUCGGGACCGGCCGGGGAUCGCGACGCCGGGCAGGCUCCUGUCGCCGGGUGGGCAGCGAGGGGCCCUGGUCGAGGCGACGCCAGAUCCGACGGGGGACGAACAGGUGCCACCCAUCCCCCGCAGGCAAAGAAGGGGCCGGGUCCUCAGUCACCAGCGCGGCCAGCACCGGAGGGGAGGCCGCCGCAGAUCCGUUGCCGGCCGGAGGCCGCAUCGCGGAAGGAGGGGGACGGUGACACAAGCGCCGGGGAGCCGCGAAGGAGGGGCGGAAUGAGGCGCUGGCCCCGCCGUAGGGCUCCCCGUCGCCGUUCUCCUCCGGGGGAGGGGGCAGGUCGACCUCUACCCCGACAUCCGAGGGCCGAGAGGUCGCCGAGAGGUCGCCGUCAGGUCACUCUCCGCCCAUGUCCUCGCUCCUUGCCCCGCCGCUGCACCCCAUUCGAGCACUCAGCCAUCCGCUCCCACCACACCAACCCCUCCUCCAUAGAUGCUCCUACAGCCAACGAGCUUCUGAAUUCCAGUUGGUGCUAGCAGCAACCCAGGAACUUGGGCAAUCCAAGACGAGCAUCGCCAUGAGGUCGACCUGCCCUACUUCCUCUCUCUAAUCCCCUUUUGUCCCUCUCAGAUUCUAUUUUAAUUUGUGUUCAAAACUGCUGCUAGGUCAUGUCGUGUACUGCUGCUGCAUCAUCGAGCCGGUCGCCGUGCUGCAACAUAGGAGCCGCUUCGUCCAUGGUGACUUCCGUAAUCAGGCUAUGAACAAGAGCUAUCUGAUGUGCUGCUGAUUUGAAAGAAGCCUAAGGUUGAGGGUACACUUUUGAGUGGAUCAGGUUUUGGACAAGAAAAAGCUUCAGUGUGCUACUGGAUAAAAACAGAGCCAAGCAAAAAGCCGGGUUGCUUCUUGCUGCAUGCGUUGCUUCAGAGAGAAGAUAGCAGAAAUGAGCUUCUCCAUCAGAACAGGAGCUGCGAAGGAAAUUUGCUUCCUGCUAUACAAGGCUGGCAAUAACUACAAUGCAAAGAAGUUGGACAUUGGCUAAAAAGAGUUUGCUUUACUUGCAAAACUGAUAUGUGCUCAAGAAGAUAUGACUUGCGCGACCAACGGACCGAACUCGCAGGUCUGCCCAUCAGGAGAUGCAGCUUAUUGCGACAGUCAGGAUUCCAUCCAUCGUGGAGUACAAAGAUUCGUGGGUGAAAAAAGGUAGCCAGAGGGUCAAAACAAAGUUAUUAAAUGGUAAAAUAUUGCACGGUUUGGUGAAAAUCUUUUGUUGUUAUGCACCUCAUUCAUUUUUUUUAGUUCUAUUCAGUUACAGGCCUUUCUCAUGCCUUGCCUCCAUGGAUUAUAACUGGCAAUAGUCUAUGUUUUUUUUAGUUCCAUAAUGUCUGCAAUUCUUUGGAUGAUGAUAGUAUUAUCACAGAGAUGCAUCUGAAAUGACUUUCUUUAUUAUCUAACAACUAACAUUGACUUGGCUUCUGAUUUCUAAAUCCUGUAAUGACACUGGGAGUACUACCUUCAAUUUUGUACUUCACUGUUUCAUGGAGAAGCCUAUCAAUACAAAUUCUGCAAAAUUUUAUUGUUCAUCAUGUUCCUCUAAUUUUUGCAAACAUAGAGGAGCUGUGCCAACCUCACAUUCUUCUCCAUGGAGGACAAGUUACUGUCCCAUACAGAUUUCCACAAUUGGUCGCGUUGUCUUUUUGAAGGAAGCAAUUUUGACAUUGGCAAUGCUGGAUUUGAAAGCAGCAAUACACAAAUAUGAUGUGGCCACGUGAAAGGUUCAUGUGCAUUGGAAUACAUGCAUUCCAUGAGUGUGAUUCAUGCAGUUGUUCAGGUCAAUGUCCUGCUAGCUCUCAUGAUAUUUGAAGUUUUGGGACAAUCUAUGCUUUUUGGGGACUUCAAUGCACCUGACCGAUUUCAACCUAUCGAAAGUUGAUCCUGUCCUGUGUGUGGGGAGGCUCAAGAUGGUGGCCAUCAGCUGACGAGCUGAUGAACGCAAACCUAUGCGCUUUGAGGUCGAUGUUAUGUAGUCGUUCUUAUUUUCCCGACUACAAGUUGUUUCUUUGUUCUUGAUUACAAUUUGUGUUGGAGAAGUAAACUAGAUAUCACUGACAGCAUUUUAAAACCAUUAGCAUGGCUAUGCCGUCAAUAUAUUUGAUGCUUCAAUAUCAAUCAAAUUAUAUAGUUUUUUUCUUAUUUGA